ensembl:lncRNA
GAAACAAGACUACUUUGAGGUCAAGCCCCUGCAUGUGAUGUUCCCUGUGUCCGUUACACAAAAAGGACCUCCCUUCUCUACAUACCUUGUAACAAACCAAGGCAACUUGUGAGCAUUGCAGUCCCGCUUGUAGAGGAGCCAGGCUUUGGUCACAGCGAGGAUAAUCGCGUGCCAGAAGAUGUAGACAUCCCAGCGGUGCAAAUGAGUCCAACAAAUCCACACCUCCCAUGUAUAUGUUGUAAGUGAAUGAAUUUCUCUUUGAAAUGAAUCAUCUUAUCCUCAGAGUUGCGCUCUUCCGGU